CCCUUAGACGUCCUGGGCCGCACGCGCGCUACACUGACAUGUUCAACAAGCCUCCUAGUUCGACAGGAUUUGGGAAAUCUUUGAACGCAUGUCGUGAUAGGGAUAGAUCAUUGCAAUUAUUGAUCUUGAACGAGGAAUUCCUAGUAAACGCGAGUCAUCAGCUCGCAUUGAUUACGUCCCUGCCCUUUGUACACACCGCCCGUCGCACCUACCGAUUGAAUGUUUCGGUGAAGAUUCCGGAUAGGACUUUUUUGAUUUAUUUCAAUUUUGUCUUAAAAGCUAUCUAAACCUCAACAUUUAGAGGAAGGUGAAGUCGUAACA
rnacentral:rRNA from 1 species